AGCCCGGACAGCUGGGAUUUCAACUAUAGCGAACCCGAUGAGGCUGGGAACAGAGCAGUCGUAAGUUAUAUAUGGAAUGCUCAGUUGAACCCGUGCGGA
rnacentral:SRP_RNA from 1 species